UGUCCAUUUUCUGGUCUUUUAUUUCCUUGAACUUAAUCUUAAUCUUCUUGAACAUGUCUUCUCUGAAAAUCUGCAGGCAGUUGUAGGCAGAUUUUAGAGAAUUGAAGGUAACGAAAGCAUGUCCAGAUGAAU
rnacentral:ribozyme from 1 species